rnacentral:rRNA from 1 species
AUACGGAGGAUCCGAGCGUUAUCCGGAUUUAUAGGGUUUAAAGGGAGCGUAGGUGGACAGUUAAGUCAGUUGUGAAAGUUUGCGGCUCAACCGUAAAAUUGCAGUUGAUACUGGCUGUCUUGAGUACAGGAGAGGUGGGCGGAAUUCGGGGGGUAGCGGUGAAAUGCUUAGAUAUCACGAAGAACUCCGAUUGCGAAGGCAGCUCACUGGACUGCAACUGACACUGAUGCUCGAAAGUGUGGGUAUCAAACAGGAUUAGAUACCCUGGUAGUCCACACAGUAAACGAUGAAUACUCGCUGUUUGCGAUAUACAGUAAGCGGCCAAGCGAAAGCAUUAAGUAUUCCACCUGGGGAGUACGCCGGCAACGGUGAAACUCAAAUGAAUUGACGGGG